rnacentral:lncRNA from 1 species
GCAAGAGUGAAAGUUCCAAUCCUCUAAAGUCAUAGUUGUUACCUUGGUAACCAGCCCCCAUCCUGAGGUAAUCUAGGCGCUCCCAGCUACCAGUCAUCUCAUUAGGACACAAAAAAUACUUUUUUUUUUCUGACAUAGGAUACUGUGUCACCCAAGCUGGAGCACAAUGGCAUGAUCAUGGCUCACUGCAGCCUCUACCUCCUACACUCAAGUGAUCCUCCUGCCUCAGCCUCCUGAGUAGCUGGGACUUCAAGCAAGCAGCCACCACAUCUGGCUAACAAAAGAUACUCUUAUCUCUUGGGAAUUCUAAGGAUUUUGGAUGCUUAAGUGAGGAAAUGGGGAAUAAGACCAAAUAUGCGUUUCGUUAUAAAACACAAGGAAACAUGGGGAAGUGAUAGAAGUCUGAAAUCAAACUAGCUGGGAAACUACAUUUAUCGUUGGACUGAGUAUAUGUCUGGCCCCCGGGUAAAUUGCUCUGUGAUUCUUAACCUAAAUGGCAAUUAAACAAUCCUCUGGAUCCUGGAUCUUACUGAAUAUUCACUACUAAAGAGAUGACAAAAUUUCACUGAAGUGGGGAAUUAAAUGAAGACAAGGAUGCCAUGUUGAAUGUACUGUCGACAUACUGAUAGAGGGGAAAACAUCUACCACAUGUCAGACUGUGCUGGAGACUCCAGAGGAAUUCGCUGAAACAACAAAUUGACCAAAAAUAAAUAUUUG